rnacentral:lncRNA from 1 species
AAUAUACCAAAAGUUGAAUGCCUGCUGUUAGAAGAUUGGAUGGUAUUAUUUCAUUUUUCCUAAAAUAUAUGAAGAUUAAUAAUCAGUGUUUGUUGCAUUCGACAUAAAAGUAUGCUUUCUAUCUUCUUCUUUUUUGUUGAUGGAUUUCAUAAUGCGAUUUCAAGAUUUUCUUGAUUGGAAUUCAACCCUGUAAUUGAUAUUGUUUUGCUUUAGUGGUUUAUUAGGUUCAAGAGUUCACAAUUUUGAAAAACUUCUGCAUCUCCACUACAUUUUUUGCUCUGUAAAGUUAAUAAAGAUACAUCUGUGUUUUCGUCUACAAUGUUCUCUUGUUUUCUUCAAAAUAUCUCGCUGAUUCUCUCUUCAUUCGAUCCACCAUAUGGUUAUAGUAUGGAGUACUAGAGGAGCUUUGUGGAGGCCUCUUCUGUUCCAAUAUAACAGCAGUUUUUGAGGGAUGCACUAUUUCACUUCUAGGGAUCAUCAUGGCUAAGAUGUAACUUUACAAUGAAUAAAGGUGUUCACAUCAUCCUAUCUUUCCUCACAUAUAGAACAUAUCUGUUGCAAAUUAUCAUUCCUUUCCUGUGCUGACUGUGUUUGAGAUUAUGGAAUACUUUUGAGUUUACAAUUUUCAUAACCCUAAGAAAUCAGGACAACGUUCAUACUUUUUAUUUUUUGUUUUGAUAAAGUACACUUUUCUAUUAUUUCUCAUCACCUCUCUUCACUGCAUCAGAAAAGCAAUGAGUUGUAAUGGAGGAUGAAGAAAUUUAAGCAACUGGCAAUAAUCCUCUAAAGAAAUGUUUGGCACAUGUAGGCUUGGUACACCUGAAAAAUAGCCUCUUUCCCCUUAUUUCCUUUUGUUGCACCCAUCAGGUUCCUAUAUUCGGGCAUACAUUUACCCUUCUAAUAAAUUUAUCAGGACGACAAUAAUGAUAUGGCCCUAAGACCUAAUCAUUUCAGCUCAAAUAUGUCUCAAAGAGGUAGAAGGAGAGAGAUUGCUAAUAAUCCUGGACAAGCUUAUUUGAUAGAAGUAUAACAAAGUGCUUAAAGUUUGGUAUGAUAACUAUAAAAUGUAGUCUACUUGUCGAAUUGCUGCUCACACAUCUUAUUAAGUAUUGAUCAGAAAAUUGUCAAAUACAUUUGUCGUUGCAUUUAAAAAGAUAUUAGUCUGGUUGUGGCAGUCAAUUGAAACUUUUUUGUUGGUCUGAUCUUGCCAAACUGUUGAGCUGUGUUGGUCUAUGCUUUCUAACUAUAGUUGUUUCAUAUAAGUGUGGACUAUCUUUGAGUAAAGCUGCUUCUCCAAGGAGGUGAAACGAAAUUUUAGUUUAUUUUACCUUUUAUUAGUCUAUUUUAAAAUGAUUAAAAUAAUGAGUAUUUAUCCCUCUUUAUCAGUGUAGGCUGGUUAUGUUGGCGAGGAUGCAGAAUCUGUAUCAUCCAAAUUACUCGAGGUAUGCCUGAUGCUUUAAUAGCAUUUGAUUUUUUUUUCAUUUUAUUCAUGUCCGGGCUGCUUAGUUAAGCUCAUUUCAUUAACAGUACUUCAGAGCGGAGUUGUGAUUUUGGGAGUUUAAAAAAGAAAUGGUAAUUAGUUUUAAAAAAAAAUUGAUUCUUAGUAUACUGUGUGAUUUCACUAUACAAGAUUGAACAUGAUGUAAAAUAUUUAGUUUUCCUGUUUCCAGCAACAUCGCAAAAAGAUACACGCAAGUUGCACAAAGUUCAAUUAAUUCUUAAUAUUGAUACUAUCAUUAUUUAAUAUUGAUACUACCAUUAUAUAACUUCUUUUACCUUGUGCAAUCUUUUCAAUGUACUUCCGGUCUCCAGUAUUUCUGAUAUACCAUUGGUCAGUCAUUCUCUGAGUAAAAAUCUUGAUGGCUUCUCUUGUUCAUUUUUUGAAGGCUUCUCUUUGGGUUUUUACCGUUUCUGAUUCCGUUUUGGUGAUUUUUCAAUUUCAUUUCACAUUGCUGAUGGCAAACAGAUAUCUACUGCUUCUUCUAGCAUUGCAGUUUGAUAUGUUUUUAAUGACAUGGUAGAUGUGCACCAGCUGGUUGCCUAAAAGUACUUACCUGUGUUCUUUUCUAGACGAUUUAUGUGUUUCCAUUUGAUGACCAUUCAGAAAGUAUAAACCCAAUAGAGUAAAUAUUUUAUUUUUUUAAAAAUAUGAUUUGUAAUUGGAAUAUGGAAGCAGCUGUGUGAUUCUACUGCAAAAAAAAACUGAAAAUGUAUUGUGCAUAGAGAGAAAUGCAGCUGCAAAUAUAAGGUAAUCACGUAGUAGGAGAUACAUUUAAAACUGGCCCCUAGAACUGCAAUUAACAUAUCAGUUUUUAGAUUUGAAGAACUGUAGAGAGGUAUUGAUAAAUUUGACUAGUUUAACAAGGAACUAGCUGGAAAGCCUGUGUUACCAAUCAAAACUUGAAAUGCUGCAGAUCUUGGCUUUUUCUAGAGUGGUUAAUUUGGUCGGUUGUGACACAGUUUUUGGAGGAUUAGAGUAGAACGAACAUUGACUGAUAUAAAGAAAAGAGAGGGUAAUGAUUUCCAAAGUAGUCACAAUGAUUUCACAUUUGUGCUAGAAUCAAUUUUCAUUUUCAUUUUUAUCUGUCUAGGUACAAGAGAAUUAUCAUUAUCACAUUGUUGUGAAGUCGGUAACAAUAAACCUUGUGAAAUGGUUGCCCCUUUGGUGUUCUGCUGAUUAUUGCAUUUGAAUAGUUUCUUUUUGAUGAAGGUUGCAUUGAAUAGUUUCUGUGGAGAAGCAGAUUUACUUCCUAUUUCCUUGUCAAGCAGACUACAUGGUUCCUCUUUUGUAAUCUGUUUAGCUUUUGCACUAUCAGCAGCAUAGUUAUUCAAUUAUAAAUCUUUGGUGUUCAUGUUUGUUUACAGGCUGCUGACUUCAAUGUCGAAGCAGUUGGGCAAUACAUAGACGAAGUUGAUAAAAUAACCAAAAAGGUUCAAAAACCAUUAUCUACUUUAUGAAUUUGGAUAAUUAAUUUUAAAGUAAUCAUUCUCAUCAGUCAUCUGUCUAGGCUGAGAGCCUUAACAUUGGCAGAGAUGUAUUUGAGGAGGGCUUCCAACAGGCGCUGCUGAAGAUGCUUGAAGGAACUGUGAGUAUUUAUUGCAAGUUAUUUCAGCUGUUUGUUCCAAUUGCCUAUUACUCUUGUAAACAUGUUUACAAAUUCAUAAUUGUAGUUCCUGGACUUCAAAUGUGUCCUCUUUCUAAACAUUUUUCUGAGAUCAGUAAUCUCACUUGCUCAGUUUAUCUUUAUUUCUUCUUCCGAUUGUAAGUGUACCUGACUAUAGAGCAUGGAAACAUCCAUGUGGCGAUACGAUUCAGGUAUAUAGAAUCUAUUAAAGCCUCUUUUAUCUACUCUUUUUUUUAAAAAAUUUGCAGGCAAACAGUUGUGGGAAAAGCACUUACCCCUUGCCUUUUGGAUGGUAACAUAGUUUAGUGCUUUUUAGAAUCAAUUUGAUUAUGUUGCGGGUGAAAAACAGAUCUCUACUGGGAAAGAUUGUUUGGCCAAGGAAAAUCAGAUGUCGGACACUGACCUAUUCAACAAACAAGAAACAGGACUUCUUCAGCUAAGUUCACAUAUGUUGGGAGGGGGAAGUCAAGUUAAAUACUGGUUUAUAGGCCUUGGAGCAAUCAUCUACAAAGGAUGUGAAGUUGUAACAAGCUGGACAUUCCUUGUUCAAUAGCUCAUCACUGUUAAUUCUUGAUGCUGCCUGCUCUUUAUACUUUUCCAUACACUAAUCUGCAGAUAGCUAAAGCUAUCCUUUUUAUUUGUGGUGGAGCUUUUGUUGGUAGAGAAGACAAUUUCAGAAAGGUUAUCUGUCAAACUCAAUUAAUUUCAUUAAACACAUUUAAGUUAAGUGAUAUAAUAUGGUUCAACUUAUCAUUCUUUUACUCCCAGACGACAAGAUUCUUCAACUGGAUUCGGAGUACCUGUUCUAACUAACAUAAGAGUUAGUGGUCUAACUGAUGCUGUAGUUACAUCAUCACUAUUGGAAUCUGUGAGGAGAUGCUAAAGCUAUCCUUUUUAUUUGUGGUGGAGCUUUUGUUGGUAGAGAAGACAAUUUCAGAAAGGUUAUCUGUCAAACUCAAUUAAUUUCAUUAAACACAUUUAGGUUAAGUGAUAUAAUAUGGUUCAACUUAUCAUUCUCUUACUCCCAGAUGACAAGAUUCUUCAACUGGAUUCGGAGUACCUGUUCUAACUAACAUAAGAGUUGGUGGCCUAACUGAUGCUGUAGUUACAUCAUCACUAUUGGAAUCUGUGAGGAGAUCCCUGUGACUUGAGUGUAGUUUUCUUUUUCGGAUCACUAUUUUGUAAAUCUAAUGAUUUCAUGACUCUUUAUUCUCGUGAAAUUCUAAAAACCAAAUGCAUCGGAAGCAUUCAUGUCACAUUGCUUUCUGUAUCUAGGUAGAAAGUGACGAUCUCACUGCGGAUGGACUCAUAUUUGUGGUGCGAUUUCCAGUAUUAGUGAGUUUAUCUUCCCUGGAUGAGGAUUAGCUUGUUCAGGUUUGUCUACUCUUUUCACCUUUUGGCAUUGUAGUUUCUAGUUUCAUGUUUUCCUGAUUUAAUUGGCUAUUUGGGAACUCCAACUGUGCUUAGGAGGUUGGUGGUAUUAUUUUAUUUUUCCUAGAAAAUAUAUGAAGAUUAAUAAUCAGUAUGUUCCUAUGCUCUAUUGAUAAGUAGCUACAGUGGCUUGGUCAUAGCAGUUAGAAUUCAGCUUUAUUGUGUGUGACUUCUUCUUUACCUGUUUCCUCACUCCUAGAGCUCUUCUUUACCUGCGAUGAACAAUUUUUGUUUUUCUUUGAUGUUGGUUUCUUUUUGACUAGUACAUCCUUGUUGGCAAGACACUUGUUAGAGUUAUUAUACUGUGAAUUGAAACUUUGUGAAUUUGUAGUUCUCCAAAUAGUAGUUCUUCAACCCUCUAACCUUGUUUGAGUAACACAUAGCUGGAUCCUGAAUUUGUGAACUGUAUGGAUACCUGUCUAUCAAUUGGUGAUGUAGAAAUUACCUUCUGUUUGAUGAGACAGGAUCAUUCAAAUUUGCUGCUCUAGAUGAUCUUGUUUAACUAUGGUGCAUGGAAUCAUUACAACAAAUACAUCCCUAUGAUUGGUUUUGGAUUUGUCCUCUCUGAUCUUGAGACUUUCUGUUCGCAAUUUCUUGUUCCUCACUCAAUUUGUUCUUAUCAUUUUUAGUCCCGGUGGUAUUUUCCUCAUCAAGCCAACCAAUUGCCUUCUGAAUUAACUGCAGUAGUAAGUAGAUAGGUUUAGGCAAUUGAUGUGACCUAAACUAUUGACUAGUAGGUGAAAGGAGGAUAUAGGAAGGAACUUUUGCAUCUUUUUAUGUAGGACGGCUUGGGGAUUUUUUUAUAGCAAUGGUAUCUGAGCCAUCUCAUACGCACCUCGACUAUUCCAAUGGGCACCGGACCUCCGACCAACACCAGGUACCGAGUUAAGUACCCCCAAGGCUUAGACAAAUGAGAAGAAACCACCUACUAUUUUUUUCCCUCCAAUGAUAUUUAAACCCGAGAUCUCGUGACUGUCCUUGCACUUUAUUAACUACUAGGCCAAAACCCUUGGGUGCAGGACAACAUAAGAAAGUUAAAAUGAAUAAUUUGCCUCCGAAAAGUAUGUAUCAUUUACUUGUUCCUUCGAGACAAAGGAAAGAAUAAACAAAAGGUUUUGAUCCAUAAAUUGUUCUUUACAUGUGAGCUUAUGUCGGUGUUUGACGACUCAAUGUAGCCUAAUUUUGUCUCUAACUAAAGAUUAAGAUUAAGAUUUUUUCUUUCGAUAAUGCAAUAAAUUUUAUUAAUGUUAGGCUAAAAAAGUGCUAAUAUAGAAGUAUACCAAAAAGUAGAAACCUGCAAAUACAGAUGGUUUUCUAUGAACUCCACCCAAUCAUCUAUACAUAAAGAGACUUCAUGUAUAGAUGGGGUACCAUCAUUCAUUCAAUGUACAAGACAUCUGCAAGUGCCUUCCUGUGUGCAUAAUUGGUUGUUUAAUUGCUUCAAGUCUUUUUGUUCAAUGCUAGUUCUUAUGAAAUAAAAUAUUCCUCCAUCAUUCCAAAUGAAGAACGUGUUAUGCUGUUCAUUAAUAUUAGGCAAGAUUGUAGGUGUAUUGUCAAUGCGUGCACAAUUUGUUCUAAGAAGUGAUGCUGUCAUUCUUCUGUAUAUAAUUCUUAUCAGCCUUCUAUUUGGGGAACUCAAACACUCUUUUACUAUGUUUAUUUUCUAAUGCACAUAUGCUUAGUUGCUUUUUUCUUUUUAUAAGUUUCUCUAUUGUUGUCUCCUUUCCAGGGAAUGAGCACUGAGAUUAAGUGUGAAUGUCUUGACAUACUAUGUCAUGUUCUUCACAAGUACGGGAAUUUGAUGGACACUCCCCAUGACUCAUUGUUAACUUCAUUAUUGCCCCAGCUGAGUUCCAAUCAACCUAGUGUCAGGAAGAAGAGCAUUUCAUGUAUAGGUAACCUUGUUAUAAGCUUCUCUGUAUUGUAUGUGCUUUAAAUUUUGAAUGGAGAGUGUAUCAAGUUAAAACAGAGUUUGUUUGAUGGCGUAGUAUAGAUGCUUUGAGAGAUAGUAACAACAAUUUUCCUUUCUGACAUGGAAACAUGAGUUAAUAAGAUUUCUUAGACUAUCAUGUACUGUGUUGGACUGGUGGCCAAGCUUUCAACUUUUCCUGCAGUAAAUUCAGUUCAACCUUUUCUCUUUGUCUUCAAAAUUGUCGGAUGAUUUGCUGGCGAAGGCUACAGUUGAAGUUGUUCGCCUUUUGAGCUAUAAGAGCUCAAAAUCAGAGAUGAUACGAACUAACAUUCAGAUUAUUGGGACCUUAAAGUAGCAAAUCCUAAAUUAUAAUUGAUGCUUGCAUUUUGUCCUAUUAAAUGUCAUGUAAUUUUGAUAUACUUGUUUUAACUUUUAGACAAAUGCCCAAGGACAAUAUACUUUUCUCAACAGUAGGUAUAGUGAAUACUCAAUUAGCAGAUUUCACAUCCAAUAUUCUUCACCCUGUUGGACACUAUGCUUGUCACUGCCCUAGAGAAACUUGUGACAUAGUUGAAAGGGAAAAGAAGCCAGGUCAUCAUUUGACAUUAUUUUGACAACUGGAAAGGCUGACAGAGGAAGACAAGGGAAUCAAGUCAAAGCUGACAGUGCUAAUGAAUACACGGAUGAUGAUGAUGUCAGUUGGAAGGUUAGAAGAGCUGCUGCCAAAUGCUUAGCUGCAUUGGUAGUUACUCAGCCUGAGAUGCUAUCAAAGCUGUACAAGCAGGUAUGACUAGGAAGUGUGACCUAUUUUAGCUUACUUACAUUAAGCUAUUUCAUAUUUGAAGUUUGAUGUAGUGUUUACCCUCUAUUUGACAUUAGAUUUUCCUUUCAAGUGUGUUGCGCAGAUGUAGCUCUGCAUUCUUUUUAAGUUGAAAUGUUUCUAUAUACUGUGACUGUCCAUUUGUCUCAUAGUCAUAAUAAGCUAAUAAUGCCGACUCUAACCUUAUUCAGGCUUGUUCAAAGUUGAUUGAUAGGUUUAAAGAAAGGAAGAGUAAGGUAAAUUUGAAACGUCUUCUGAACUUCCUAGAUAAAUUGGUUUUAAUGUCUAAAUACUUGCUCGACAGAUGGCACUGAAUUGUUGCGACAAACAGGCAAUGUUACAGAAGGACAGUCACUUUGUAUGACUUUACUUGUCUUAUUUUGUGUUUUCUGUUAUCAUUUUACUUCCAACUGUGGAAGACAGUCACUUUUGGGAACACCUGUUUCACUUUCAAAGACUGAAUCUAAAUAUAUGCUAUUUUUAGUAUGAACUUGAGCCCGGACAGUACAGUGCAGAAAUAAAGCGGUAAGACAGUAAGAGCAAGGUUAGAAAGGAUGUUGGUGCAUUUUACAUGGAUUUGUUUUUAAUUGCAAAAAAUUGGAUAUACUAUUGCCUAGAGGCUAUUUGUUGGCAUUUAUUAAAUUCGUGGGGUUUCUAGCCUAGAGCUAUUUGUUGGCAUUUAUACAGAAAGGAAACCAAAGUUUUUGUUUUUUUUUUAAAGUAGAAAAUCUCUUUUGGAAUUAAACUAAAAUAAUACAAAAGAGGUCUCUUUACAAGAAAUAAGAAAAUUUUCCUAACACUGGUUAUGGUGUGUGUAACUUCAAGCUUCAAAGUGUUCUUACAAGAAAUAAGGAAAGUUUCCUAACACUUCUUUUAUGGUGCAUGUAGCUAUCACCAAAUGUUUUAGAUACUUUUAUUUAUGCUGUGACUUCACAUGCUAACUGCUACACUCAAGGUCUAAGAGAAUGUGUGUUUGGAAAGUAAGAUCAGUACAAUGAGAACCACAGGGACGGAGCUUUGUUUUUUUUCGUAGAUCUACAAUACCAUGUGCCAGCAGCCCCAUCAAGCAAUUCAACUUCAAGUUCAACUAUGUUCUCGAUAUCGAUACCAUCAUUAUGUAACUUCUUUUACCUUGGCCAGUCGUCAUUCUCAUUCUCUGCGUAAAUAUCUUGAUGGCUUCUGUUGAUCAACUUUUUUAAGGCUUCUCUUUGGAUGUUAAUGCUUCUGAUUCUUUUUUGGUGAUUUUGCAAUUUCAUUUCACAUUGCUGAUGACAAACAGAUAAUGUACUGCUUCUUCUAGCAUUGCAGUUUGAUAUCUUAUUAAUAACAUAGAAGUAGCUGUGUUCCUAAAAGUACUUACCUGUGUUUGAUGACCAUUCAGAAAGUAUAACCUAAUAUGAUUUUUAUUUGGAAUAUGGAAGCAGCUGCGUUUUUCUACUGCAAGUUUUAUUACAAUUUGCCUUCAAUCUAUAGUUUGUGUUUGAUGGGUUAGUGAUGUGAACAGUUUGCUCUCUCUUGUUCUUUUUAAUCAACCAAAGGAGACUCCCUUGUUUCUCUCUUCACUUCAAAGAGACAGAAAAUAAUAUUUGUGUGAGUAAAGACAUCAUUAUACCACCCAACAUCAGUACCCAAUUCUGGGAUUUGCUUUGUAUGUGUAUGCGGUUGUAGUACAUCCAUUACAGAAAAGUGAGAGAUGAAUGAUUUGUGUUGAUAUUAUAUGUUUUGUCUAUAAUCAUUAUUUGUACUCAUAUAUAUAAUUAUACCUCUAAGAUCAAAGGAUGAAUCUUAAUUACACCACUAGUGAUUUCAUGAAUAUAUAUUUACUCUAUCAAAUUUGUUCAAAAGUAGAUAAUUUUAUUUUGAUUUGCAUUCAUAGCUAAUGUAUAAGAAAUGAUACAUCGAAACUUCAAUCUUAUUAUUAACUUCACGGGCGUGGAAUGGGAGUAUGGGUAAAAAGAAGGAUCAAUACGAUAUACUUACUCUAAAUAAUAUACCCAACAUAUCCCACUUAAAUAUAUAGCGUCAAAUGUCAAUUCAUCAAUUGCUAUCGCAAAUAAAAAUUGGCCUACUGAGAGUAAAAUAGAGAAUGAACUCUCCAACCACACCUUGAAAAGGUAUUUAGUUGAAGUAUUUAUCCCGUUCUUGAAUUUUAAAUAAAAGGUCAAUAAACUUUAAGUUAAAAUUAAUUAAUAUUUAGUACAUAUAUUUGUCAAUAUUUUUAAAAAUUAAUUUUUAUACUACAUGAAAAUUAUAUAAGAGGUUAUUUGGGAAAAAAGAAGAAAUCAUAUAUCAUAUAUAUAUAUAAAAGAGAACCCUGAUCCCGCCUACGUGGCGCCACCACAAAUCAGGAUUCCCUUUUAAUUUAUUUAUUUUCAAAAUUAGCCUUCUCCUUUCAUGAAAAGUUGUGACUUUUAUGAAAAAUUGUGACUUUUAUUGAAAAAUUAUGACAUUGAUUAAAAGUUGUGACUUUUAUGAAGAGUUGCGACUUUUAUGAAAGAUUGUGACCUUUCCGAAGAGUUAUGACUUUUCCAAAGAAUUGCUACAUUUCCAGUAAGGCACAAUAAGAAUUUGUUCACAUUACCCUUACUUGUCUAUAAAUAGAGGGGUUCCUCUCAUUUUAAAACAACGAACAUUCUGAACUUCUUUUUCUUCUUCUUCUUUUGCACAAUUAAAUAUUUGAUUCUAAACUUCUUCUUCUUCUGCACAAUUAAAUAGUUGUGUACUUUGCUCCUGUUGAGUGGCUCACUGACACUAUUGUUUUUAUAUCAUUAAACUGGUGAAUAAAAUAGUUUCAUCCUGAGAGGAUCUAUUUCUAUAAACCUCGGGUACCAGAGGGGAAUUAUUUUCUUAAGCAGACACUGUGCAUUCAGUGGGCUCGAUUUUUUCUUUCUAUUUCAUUCUAUUGUUAAUCCUGGUAUGUUUUUUUUACAGUCAUAAUUUAUGCUUAUGAUAUUAAUUGUUUUUUUGACUACAUGUUUUAAACUUUGUUAUUUAUGUUUCUGUAAAGUUAUUAUUAUAAGUAUUUUUUAGUGCAGACUCUAUGUAAAUUCAACUAUUGCAGAUUCACAAAUAAUUUUUUACAGAAUACAUUUAUUUACAACAAUCUCCAAAGAAAUUUUUUCUUCUCAAGAGAUCAAGCCUAAAAAUUUAUAUGAUUUUUGUUGUUGUCAUAAUAAUGUUAAUAUUAAUGGGAGUUAAAAAAAAUAGAAAGUCAAAUGAUAGAAUUAAAACUAGCAAUUAUAUGAUACACAAUGAUGACUAAUUUCUCAUACCAAAGUACUUUUUUGAACUUUUUUUCCAUUAUCCAUUACUUCAGACCUAAUGGACUAAUCCCUUAUCUAGGAUCGUAGAUGCUAACGGGGCGGGAAUCGAAGUGGGGGACCCCUCUACCGCCUGUGUCAGGAUCCUUAAUGUUUUAUUUGUGCACAACUUCAAUUCCCAAACACUAUCAUAACUAUAUUACAUAUGAAAUUUGAAUUUUUGAAGAUUGCAUUUUAAUUUUAAAACACAUAAUGACUACAUAUUACUUAUUGGUAUAUCAUAUGAUUAUGGAAUUGUUGCUCUUGAUAAACACAUUAGUUAUACAUAUAUAUUAUUAAAGAAUAUUUAAUAUUUUGAAAGUAAUUGAUAAAUUAUACUAACGAAAUUGGCAAAGAAAAAAAUUGAGAAAAAUAUUUAUUUGACUCUCUAAUUAAAGACAUUAUGUAACUAUGCAUAUAGAUGAUAAAAAUAAACUAACCAUUGUAAAAUUACAAAAGCAAAUUAAUGAAUCUAUAAAAUGAAAUUAUGUAAAUUAAACUAGGAGAAAAUAGUGUUAUGAUUUGUAAUUUUGCCUUUUCUUUUAAUAAAACAAAUGGUAAACUACAAUUGAAUAACCUCUAUACUCUUAAAAACAGAUUUAUAUAAAAUUACUAUAACAUCAAAAUACAAGAAAAAUUCUAUUCUAGCUUUUUUUAAAGAAGAAUGUUCUAACCGCGCGAAGCGCGGAUCCAUUUACUAGUGAUUUAUAUUAUGAAAUAAGAAAAUAAAAAUAAAAAUAAUAAUAUAAUAAUAAUGAGAGAAAGAAAAAUAUCUUUUAGAGAAGGAAAAAGGGCCUGAUAUACCCCUCAACUUUGUCAUUUGGAGCUGAUAUGCCCCUCGUUAUGAAAGUGGUUCAUAUAUACCCUUACCGUUAUACAAACGGCUCAAUAUACCCCUUCCUCACAAAAUCAUUUAACGGAAGUGAAAAAGUUAGUUUUAAAUUUAUAUUUUUGACUUUUAAUUUUCUUAAAAGUUAUUUAGGGGUAUAUAUGAUUCUUCUAGCAAAGUUCAAGAUAUUUUUUAAUCUUUUUUCAUACAUAAAUUAUUUUUUGACUUCUUUUAUUAUAAUUAUUUGAGUUUCUUAUUCUUAUUUUAUUUUUUUCUUUCAUUCCUUAGUGUAAAAAAAAAAUUUAAAACUAUUUUUUUUGUCUAUAUUGUAAUUUAAUUUUUGUAUUUGAAGAAAAAAAUUUGGUCAUCUAUAAUAAGUUUUACAAGAAUAUUAGUGAAACAUAAAUAAAUUUGACCAUCAAAAUAAUAAAUCUAAAUUAGUCAUUGAAACAAAAGAAAAGUUAAAAAAUAUAUAUAUGUUUGAGGAGGAUUAAAUAUAUUCAUAUGGAAUUAUAUAUAUAUAUAUAUAUUUUUUUUUAAAAAAAAUUAACCUGAAUUUUUUUUUUUUCAUUUCUGUUAGAGGAAAAAGAUAUAUGUGAGUCAUUUGUAUAUAAGUAGGGGUAUAUAUGAGCCACUUUUAUAACGAGGAAUAUAUCAACUCUAAAUGACAAAGUUGAAAGAUAUAUCAAACCUUUUUCCCUUUAGAGAAUAGUAAAAUAGAAAAUUGAAUCCGACUUGUUUGUCUCAGACUAUAUAGAAAGACGCGUUCCCUGUAUUUAUUUACUUCUUAUUUCAUGUUCUUAUAAUAAUAAUUACUACUUUAUUUAUCAUGAUUAGAGAAUUUAUCAAGAUUAGAUAAUUUAUUGUAAGAUAAAUUAUAUAGAACAUUUUACCGGCUAACAGUUAUUUUUCAUUGAUCGUUAGGCGUUAUUCCAUUAAAAUUCAAUUAAAUCUUAAUUCUCGGUGAAAGUUUUCAAUUCUAUCACGCAAAGAGAACUUAUCCGAAAUAUCUAAUCAGUGUUUACUUUCCACUGAAAAACUUGUGCGCCGAAAAAUACAUUUUGCUUCAAUCACAGUGUCUUCUUCCUCCGGCUCAGCCUCUCAAAAUUUCAAAUUCCGGUGACUGUUCAUUCAUACUCCGGCGAGAUGAAAAUUCCUGCAUUCCUACUUCUACUAAUCACUCUUUCACAAGUAACUCUGAAUCCGACUGUUUCAGUCGCCGAUUCCGCUUAUCCGUCGCCGUAUGGUAUUGAAACGACUACCUCCUGUCAAUCUACUGCUUCCGAUGACCUAAUUCCUGUCCGUCGUGAAGUUUACGGCAACGGAAGGAUUUUCGACAUUACUCAUCGAUUGACUCCUGAUAUGCCGUCCUGGGGAUUAGAAGACGGGCUUGGCCAGUUCCUGUGGCUACCUAACAGCAUGAAGAAUGGCUCUCUUGCUAAUAACUCCGAGAUGAAACUUCCGACCCACACCGGCACGCAUAUUGAUGCUCCUGGCCAUGUCUACGAUCACUAUUUCGAUGCUGGCUUUGAUGUCGACACUCUCGACCUAGAAGUUCUCAAUGGUAUCCAUCAAUCUCCAUCUCUUUUUGUCUCCAAUGCUUCGCAAAUUAGUUUAAUUUUAGCACACUAACUUGUACUAGUAGAGUAGUAGUAUUACACCUGUUAUGCUGUCCCC